CAUCCGUGAUCCGACCAGGAGCGUAAUUUACGUGAAGGGUUAACCAGUCGGAUCAAACCGGUCGGAAGGGUCAAGAGACUGAGAGAGGAGCUUGCGUUUCCCGAGGCAACUACCGCCGGAGCUAUGGGGAUGCCGGAAGGAAUUCCCGGUGGCCGGCCAUUGCUUGUGGCGGCGAACAUAUUGUUGCCGUCGCCUCUAACUGGUGUCUGUUUACCUAGGUAUGCCCAGAUUUUGUUAACAAGAUGAUAUUAUUUGGAUACGAGCUCGUGUUUAAAAGGGGGGCUACAUUAUAUUUCGUGUACAAAUGUCUCAUACAAGCUUGGAGUUCCAGGAAGGGAAUGGUGGGAUAUAGCUCUUACAAGAAAAGAUCUUCUAUAUAGCUCGGUGGUUGAGAGAUGGUUAAGAAAGAAGAAGUACAACGUUGUUGUUUCAUAGGACUUCCGUUCUAAAAUGUAAGGCAGAUUGGCUGGCGGGUUUUCAGUCGUUGUUGUUGGGAUGGCGAAGCAUCCAUGGCGGCACGAGGGAGGUAGAACAAGGGGGAGCUUGACCUCUAUUCUCUGAAUUUUUAGCAGCUUCUGUUGCCCUAGCUAUGCUGCUGUGAAAUUGCAAUAUGGUUAGAUGCUAACACCAUUGUUAUCAAAGAAAGUUAGAAAACAAUUGCAGAUUUAACAUCCCUUGGCAUGCAGGCCUUCAUCCUGCUACUAAAUCUCAUUGCAUCAUAAUCUUGAUUGUAUUUCACCUCAAUUAAAAGUAUAAAGGUAUGCGUUUAUUAUUUUA